rnacentral:rRNA from 1 species
GACGCUGACGAGUGGCGAACGGGUGAGUAAUACAUCGGAACGUGCCCAGUCGUGGGGGAUAACUACUCGAAAGAGUAGCUAAUACCGCAUACGAUCUGAGGAUGAAAGCGGGGGACCUUCGGGCCUCGCGCGAUUGGAGCGGCCGAUGGCAGAUUAGGUAGUUGGUGGGAUAAAAGCUUACCAAGCCGACGAUCUGUAGCUGGUCUGAGAGGACGACCAGCCACACUGGGACUGAGACACGGCCCAGACUCCUACGGGAGGCAGCAGUGGGGAAUUUUGGACAAUGGGCGAAAGCCUGAUCCAGCAAUGCCGCGUGCAGGAUGAAGGCCUUCGGGUUGUAAACUGCUUUUGUACGGAACGAAAAAGCUCCUUCUAAUACAGGGGGCCCAUGACGGUACCGUAAGAAUAAGCACCGGCUAACUACGUGCCAGCAGCCGCGGUAAUACGUAGGGUGCGAGCGUUAAUCGGAAUUACUGGGCGUAAAGCGUGCGCAGGCGGUUAUGUAAGACAGAUGUGAAAUCCCCGGGCUCAACCUGGGAACUGCAUUUGUGACUGCAUGGCUAGAGUACGGUAGAGGGGGAUGGAAUUCCGCGUGUAGCAGUGAAAUGCGUAGAUAUGCGGAGGAACACCGAUGGCGAAGGCAAUCCCCUGGACCUGUACUGACGCUCAUGCAC